UAUCUAUAUACAACAUAAAAUAAUUAAUAGAAAAAAAUUUAUCGAAAUCAAUAUAAUGAUUUCAUAUUUUUUAAUAUAAAACAUUAUAUUCGCAUAGUAUUAUAAUAAGUAUUAAUCAAUGUCUUAAAAUGUCCAUAUAUGUCUUAUAAGUCAUUUAUAAAAAAAUUAAAACAUUUAUAAAAUUAUUUAUCAUGGCUUACAAAAUUAUUUU
rnacentral:lncRNA from 1 species